UGUUCGCGACACACUUUUAGCUACACGCUUUUCAAAGAGGUCGCAACGGCUAACUGCUAAACUUUUUUAUUCUGACAUUGAAAUUUAACAAGAAUAAAUCAAUAUCAGCGGCAAUUUCAGUUCUAUCCUUGCAACGUAAAUACAAUAUAAUUUACCUUUAACGAAAAUGAACGCAAUUAUUCGUAAUUAUUCGCGAUACUAUUUACUUAUAUAUUUUCCUAUGUUGUCUUACGUAUCUGUUAUUUGUAAUAGAUGAGAUGGAACGAGAAAUAUUAGAGGAUCAGCAGCAGGGUUAAUUUAUCAGUGUAAAAAUAUGCGCAAACUUCCACGAUCCAGUUAUAACACGCGAUAUAAUUCGCUAUUUGCUUAGCUCGCUUCGCCAACUGCCAGCCUCGCUAUCUUUGUCCAUGAGGAUCUAUUAAGAUUAUCAUUUUAAUUACACGUUGGUCGAUCGCGCGCGAAACUCGCGCCAGUUACAGCGUUAACUUCCUUUGUAGUAUUCAUGGUGAAAUCGCCAAUUCAUUUCCACCGUCUAACGAGAAAGACGAAACGGACGUAUUCUCGGCGAACGCUUCCCUUUCGCGUCUCUGCCGUUCUUCGAAUCGCUCUGCUUCAACGCAGUACAACCAGCCAGCUCUCUCGUUCGACAGCUGACAAAUUGCCUGCGUAACUUGUUUGCCGCGACCGCGAGAACUAUGUUUUAAGUCGAAUGAUUGUCAGAUGUUACGAACAAUUGGAAAUUAUCUUCAUUUCCCAUAUCGCUGGCCGAUGCUCACGAUCUGUUCAGUUUGGAAAACAUGGAAUAGCUCGCUGGACGAUUAGUUUGAAUUUUACGGAAUCGCGUUUGAGGUGGAAUAUGCCGAGAUCGUAGAAUCGUUGACGUUCGACUGCUCCCACGAAUACUCUGGUGUCUGUACGUUUUAUCAGUCGAACCUAACAUUUCUCAGUGACGGAUAAGUUAUGGUAUCUGUUAAUAAUCGUUGAGAUAUCAUUGCAAUCAAGUAAGUGCACUGUAUCAUACGCGAUAACGAAGUUACUCGAUUAUUCGAAUGGUAUGUACUGGGAUUAGUUUCGAUGGAUGUUUGAAUGAUGACGGUAUAUUUGGCCAGCAUAAGCACUGAUCCCUUCCAUGUCGAUCGCGUUUAUCGAUAUUUGAUAAAGAGGUCGUUUGCAAAUUACAUUUACCGUCUACUGUUGCUCACGAAAUUAUUCCAACUCUGAUACGUGCUUCUUUAUAAAUAUAUCGCGUGUGUACGUGUAUGUUACAUAUUAUAUUACAUAUCGCAUAUUACAUAUUAUAUUGUAUUUUAAGUAACAAGAUAUUUAGUGCGAGUGUAUAUUUUGCAGAAAUUCCAAAAGUGAUUAAACAGUCAAUUAUCCAUCACAUCGAUGCAUCUCAAUGUUCAAUGGGACGGUAUUUAGCGUCUAUAACAUGUUGAAGAUAGCUCUUUAUGGUGUAUCUCGUGGAGGAAAUUAAUUUCACGAAAUUAAUUAAACAGUCAAUUAUCUGUUGUACCGAUACAUCUUGAUAUUCAAUGGAAUAAUUUUUGAUAUUUAUUGAUGAUUUCAAAUUCUACCAAUGUGAUCGGGAUAGUCGUGUUUCGUUACAAAACGAACAAAAUCCCGAAGUCUCGUGUAACGGGCUAUAGGAGGCGUUGCUGGACCUGUAACGAAGAUUUAAAUAACACAUUUCGAAGAUUUCCUCUAAUUCGUCGAGCAAAAUUCAAAUGGUUCGGUCCACAGUUGCAGACGAGUUAUUUCGUUCGAAUGAACGUACGAAACGAAAGAUAUUUUUACGGCGAGUGUCGGACUAUUUUAGCUUUCGAGGCAUUAAACUUUGACGUCAAACGUUCCCGCUGAACGAACAGGACCUUCCGGCUGCCAUGGAUAUUGAUUUUCCAUGGGCUUCAAGGUUUCUGGAGCAGCUGUACCCAUCCAGCGCAGACUCUGGCUAUUCUCAAUAUGGCUGUCUAUUGUACCCAAAUCCGCUCGUUUUGCGUUGCAACGCGCUCGCCGCCAUACACCAGCAUGCGAUCAAUGCGCCAAGGACAUCAGCCGAUCGCAAUUUAAACAGCCGAAUUUAUUUUCGAAUGUGACGCGCUAGACGUUAUCAACAUGGCCGAUACAUGUACCCUGUCACGUACUUCCUGAUCGUCGCGUCUAUCUCCAUGGUCGCCAACUGUUAACUACGGAACAUCGAACUCACGCAGCGUCGGAACGAGCAAACGAUUUAUGGUGUCAUCAGUGUGAUACAAUGGAAGAUGGAGAGAGAUGCGCCAAUCUGACCGGAAACUUCACCACUUUCGGGCACAAGUGCACUGGUGAUAAAAGGACCUGUAUGGUAAUGACAAAUGAUAACAGCGAUUCGAACGCUUGUUGAUUAUACACAGGUCACGCACGUGUUUCAGCAGAUGUUUGAUAUUUUGCUUUGAUCGCGUGCUUUUAAAGCAAACAGAAUAUAGCAAA